UGUUGAGUGUGGGAUCUGGCCUGCCCAAUGAGGCAUUGAAUGGCCGCGGUAUUUUGACCGUGCAAAGGUAGCAUAAUCAUUAGUCUUUUAAUUGAGGUCUGGAAUGAAUGGUUGGACGAGGRRAAGCUUUCUUGGGRCUAUGRUGUUGAAUUUUAUUUUUUAGUGAAAAGGCUAAAAUUAUCUUGRGGGACGAUAAGACCCUAUAGAUCUUUAUAUCUCGCUUUUUAAGAAANGUCGUGGUAUUUUGUGGGGUGACAGGAAGACAUUARUAACUCUUCUAGURUAGRUUUAUURAURAAUAUAAGUAGGAUCCGCCUUUGGCGAUUAUUAGAUUAAGUUACCUUAGGGAUAACAGCGUAAUUUCUUUUGAGAGUUCAUAUCGACAAGGGAGGUUGCGACCUCGAUGUUGGAUUAAGGGAUUCUUUGUGGUGCAGAAGCUACAGNGGGAAGUCUGUUCGACCUAUUAAA
rnacentral:rRNA from 1 species